GGAAUGCUAUAGGGUCACCCCAUGGACUGUCCCCAACACUUAAUGGAAGGGGACACCUGGAACGUUGUAGGGGCACCCCAACACCCCAAGAACCGUCCCCAUAUCCCCCAACACCUGGUGGAAGGUGACACCUGGAAUGCUAUAGGGUCACCCCAUGGACUGUCCCCAACACUUAAUGGAAGGGGACAACUGGAACGUUGUAGGGGCACCCCAACACCCCAUGGACUGUCCCCAACUCUUCAUGGAAGGGGACACCUGGAAUGCUAUAGGGUCACCCCAUGGACUGUCCCCAACACUUAAUGGAAGGGGACACCUGGAAUGCUAUAGGGUCACCCCAUGGACUGUCCCCAACACCUAAUGGAAGGGGACACCUGGAAUGCUAUAGGGUCACCCCAUGGACUGUCCCCAACACUUAAUGGAAGGGGACAACUGGAACGUUGUAGGGGCACCCCAACACCCCAAGAACCAUCCCCAUAUCCCCCAACACCUAACAGAAGGUGACAACUGGAACCCUGUAGCGUCACCCCAACAACCCCAAGGACUGUCCCCAACACCUAAUGGAAGGGGACACCUGGAAUGCUAUAGGGUCACCCCAUGGACUGUCCCCAACACUUAAUGGAAGGGGACAACUGGAAUGCUGUAGCGUCACCCCAACACCCCAAGAACCGUCCCAUAUCCCCCAACACCUAACAGAAGGUGACAACUGGAACGUUGUAGGGUCACCCCAACACCCCAAGGACUGUCCCCCAACACCUAAUGGAAGGGGACACCUGGAAUGCUAUAGGGUCACCCCAUGGACUGUCCCCAACACUUAAUGGAAGGGGACAACUGGAACGUUGUAGUGUCACCCCAAAACCCCAAGGACUGUCCCCCAACACCUGGUGGAAGGUGACACCUGGAAUGCUAUAGGGUCACCCCAUGGACUGUCCCCAACACUUAAUGGAAGGGGACAACUGGAACGCUGUAGUGUCACCCCAACACCCCCAAGGACUGUCCCCCAACAGCGAAUGGAAGGGGACACCUGGAAUGCUAUAGGGUCACCCCAUGGACUGUCCCCAACACUUAAUGGAAGGGGACACCUGGAAUGCUGUAGUGUCACCCCAACACCCCAAGAACCGUCCCCAUAUCCCCCAACACCUAACAGAAGGGGACAACUGGAACGUUGUAGGGUCACCCCAACACCCCAAGAACCGUCCCCAUAUCCCCCAACACCUAACAGAAGGUGACAACUGGAACGUUGGAGGGUCACCCCAACACCCCAAGGACUGUCCCCAACACCUAAUGGAAGGGGACACCUGGAAUGCUAUAGGGUCACCCCAAGGACUGUCCCCAACACCUAAUGGAAGGGGACACCUGGAAUGCUAUAGGGUCACCCCAAGGACUGUCCCCAACACUUAAUGGAAGGUGACACCUGGAAUGCUGUAGGGUCACCCCAACACCCCCAAGGACUGUCCACCAACAUCUAAUGGAAGGGGACACCUGGAAUGCUAUAGGGUCACCCCAUGGACUGUCCCCAACACUUAAUGGAAGGGGACACCUGGAAUGCUGUAGGGUCACCCCAACACCCCCAAAGACCGCCCCAAACACCUAACAGAAGGUGACAACUGGAACCCUGUAGCGUCACCCCAACAACUCCAAGGACUGUCCCCAACACUUAAUGGAAGGGGACACCUGGAACGCUGUAGGGGCACCCCAACACCCCAAG
ensembl:lncRNA